UCAGGAGCCUGUGAUACUUGUUUCUACAGGUUCUGUGCCUGUCCUGAGAACAUUAAUGGUCAUCCUAGAAGCACUGGAGUGAGAGAUGCUGAUUUUGUGUCUCUGCAUUAGCUGUUGUUUAAAAUGCCUUAGCCUCAGGUUCUCCAAGGGGUUCUCUAUGGUUUUCUGUUGGUGUCACACUGAUACAAAACCAGCUUGUAUUUUGUAGAUGGUGUUUUGCCAGUCUUGGGCAUCUAAAAUCACCUGUCUUUGUCUGUCUUGUUUUCUGCUACUAACAUGGUACUGUUCAGUUGCAGUCUUGGAUCUUAACUCUGUGUACAUAGAGCAGUGAGGUCUAAUCUCUGCAGGGCCCGGAGGUGUUACUGCAGUACAAAUACAUGGUAAUAAAGAUCACUGUCCAGGAUAUAUGCAAACAUCUCAGAUGCUGUUUACACAGCUACAUUGCACAGACAAUAGAAUUAACAACCUUCUGUCCUAAACCACAGGCCUGUGGAGCUUAAAUGGGAAUGUACGUUUGCUGUUGCUUAUGUCAUCUUUGCUUUAUGUCAGCUACUACUAAUAGAAGCUAAUCAGUCACAAACAUAUGAGUAAGACUGAUUUCUUCCAGCAGAGGACAGUGGUGCACAUAAGCACUGUCUUACAACCUUUAUACCCUCUUGUCUCAAACUCAAAUGUGGGAUGCUGAGGGGUUCAGAAUCGUGUAGAAGGGAUCGGCAGAUCAUAUCAGCCCAGCUGUGAGGAUGGCUUCUGAAUAUGACUCUAAAAUGUUUGUACUGGUGUAAAAAUGCUGCAAUAAUGCGUAGUUUUGGUUUAACAAGAAGCUUCUCAAGCCUUUACCAGCCCCAAAGAAGUCUUACAGUGGAUCACACUUCGAUGCCAGGGAAGCCCCCAGGACAGACAGCAGAAUGCCUGCUCCGAAGGACCAGGGAACAGUGUCAGGCAGCAAACACCCUCCCAUGGGAUUCCCUGAAAAGUGAAGAGAGAGUCACUUCCUGGAG
rnacentral:lncRNA from 1 species